UACGGGGGGGGGUAAGCGUUGUUCGGAAUUACUGGGCGUAAAGGGCUCGUAGGCGGCCAACUAAGUCGGACGUGAAAUCCCCUCAGCUUAACUGGGGAACUGCGUCCGAUACUGGAUGGCUUGGAUUUGGGAGAGGGAUGCGGAAUUCCAGGUGUAGCGGUGAAAUGCGUAGAUAUCUGGAGGAAUACCGGUGGCGAAGGCGGCAUCCUGGACCGAGAUUGACACUGAUGAGCGAAAGCUAGGGGAGCAAACGGG
rnacentral:rRNA from 1 species